ensembl:lncRNA
UCCAUACUGAAUGUCAUCUAUGAUCACAUUUCUCAUUUGUCUUCAUUUUUAGGUUUUUUUUGACUUCUGGGUAUUUCCAGGUUUUUUCAAAUCACAUGCUAAUUUAGAAACUCUUCAUUUUGCUAGCUUGCAUGUUAUAAAAACUACUUUUGUGCUGCAAUCUGUGCUGAAGUUAUUUUUUCUCAUAUCAUUUAUUAGUAAUGCAUUUAUACGAAUACCGGUUCAUUUGGGCUAUUGCAGUGACUAACAGGACCUGUUAAUCAGGAUACUCCAUCUAGCUGAACAAAUAAUUUUAAUGAGCUUGAUGUGAUAUAAACUGUAUUGAUAACUGCUUCCCAAAAGCAAACAAUUGUGCAUGCCAUUGUUUCCAAAGCCUCUUGCUGCGUGUUGAGCAUUUGUAACAUGUGAAGAAAAAGAGGGAAGCAAAUGAUGAUUUUCUUACAACCUAAUUGAUUUACUCAGAUUCUUCUUUAUAUAAUACCCCUGUCCCAACCUGAGAACAUCCACUUCAGACGUGUUUCUGUCUGUACCUUUAAGCAAUUCAGGAAUACGUAUAAUCAAAUUGCUGAAGCUUGUAUCUAGCCCGUGGAGUGGCUAUUCUGCUUUUUAACUUGAUCUUUUAUCCAAGUUUAACUGAAAUCACUGAGUUGUGAGUAUAAUAUCUUUUAAUGGUAGGGCAGUCAGAAAAUUAAUUCUCUGUACAUUGUACCUUCUGUUAAAUGAAGAAUAUUGUGUAGCCAUGUAAUAAAAGAUGCAGAAUCAUAUGUUUCCGCACUUCCAGCUUAGAUGCUGCGUUUCUGUAGCAGUCGUGUCAGGAAAUAAAUCUCAUGAGCAAAACUUUACACUACAUUAUGCUUUGUAGCUCCAAAGAUAAUGAUCAAAGGCUUUUCUCAGAUCGUGUGCUGUAUAAUGUAUGUCCCAGGAAGUUAUUAGGUACUUGUUAAAUACAAAAGUACUGUUUUUAUUUCCUUUGAUUAGAGAGUGGAAAGUUACCGUGUAAACAGGUUUCCAGGUACUUGGCUAAUGAUCA